AGUCGAGCGGUAACAGGGGUAGCUUGCUACCCGCUGACGAGCGGCGGACGGGUGAGUAAUGCAUAGGAAUUUACCCGGUAGUGGGGGAUAACCUGGGGAAACCCAGGCUAAUACCGCAUACGUCCUACGGGAGAAAGGGGGCCUUGGCUCCCGCUAUCGGAUGAGCCUAUGCCGGAUUAGCUGGCUGGUGAGGUAAUGACUCACCAAGGCGACGAUCCGUAGCUGGUCUGAGAGGAUGAUCAGCCACAUCGGGACUGAGACACGGCCCGAACUCCUACGGGAGGCAGCAGUGGGGAAUAUUGGACAAUGGGCGCAAGCCUGAUCCAGCCAUGCCGCGUGUGUGAAGAAGGCCCUCGGGUUGUAAAGCACUUUCAGCGAGGAAGAACGCCUGGCGGUUAAUACCCGCCAGGAAAGACAUCACUCGCAGAAGAAGCACCGGCUAACUCCGUGCCAGC
rnacentral:rRNA from 1 species